AUUGAACGCUGGCGGCAUGCUUUACACAUGCAAGUCGAACGGUAACAGGCCGCAAGGUGCUGACGAGUGGCGAACGGGUGAGUAAUGCAUCGGAACGUGCCCAGUCGUGGGGGAUAACGCAGCGAAAGCUGCGCUAAUACCGCAUACGAUCUAUGGAUGAAAGCGGGGGACCGUAAGGCCUCGCGCGAUUGGAGCGGCCGAUGUCAGAUUAGGUAGUUGGUGGGGUAAAGGCUCACCAAGCCAACGAUCUGUAGCUGGUCUGAGAGGACGACCAGCCACACUGGGACUGAGACACGGCCCAGACUCCUACGGGAGGCAGCAGUGGGGAAUUUUGGACAAUGGGCGCAAGCCUGAUCCAGCAAUGCCGCGUGCAGGAAGAAGGCCUUCGGGUUGUAAACUGCUUUUGUACGGAACGAAACGGCUCUGGUUAAUACCUGGGGCUAAUGACGGUACCGUAAGAAUAAGCACCGGCUAACUACGUGCCAGCCGCCGCCGUAAAAC
rnacentral:rRNA from 1 species